UACGUAGGGUGCAGGCGUUAAUCGGAGUUACUGGGCGUAAAGCGUGCGCAGGCGGUUUGUUAAGACAGAUGUGAAAUCCCCGGGCUUAACCUGGGAACUGCGUUUGUAACUGGCAAGCUAGAGUGUGGCAGAGGGGGGUGGAAUUCCAAGUGUAGCAGUGAAAUGCGUAGAUAUUUGGAGGAACACCAAUGGCGAAGGCAGCCCCCUGGGUUAACACUGACGCUCAUGCACGAAAGCGUGGGGAGCAAACAGG
rnacentral:rRNA from 1 species